AGAGUUUGAUCAUGGCUCAGGACGAACGCUGGCGGCGUGCCUAAUACAUGCAAGUCGAGCGGACUCUUAGUGAUCUUCGGAUCACUCUGGGUUAGCGGCGGACGGGUGAGUAACACGUAGGCAACCUGCCUGUAAGACUGGGAUAACUACCGGAAACGGUAGCUAAUACCGGAUAGGCGAGAUCCUCGCAUGGGGGACUC
rnacentral:rRNA from 1 species